rnacentral:rRNA from 1 species
AGUGAACGCUGGCGGUAGGCCUAACACAUGCAAGUCGAACGGCAGCACAGUAAGAGCUUGCUCUUACGGGUGGCGAGUGGCGGACGGGUGAGGAAUACAUCGGAAUCUACUUUUUCGUGGGGGAUAACGUAGGGAAACUUACGCUAAUACCGCAUACGACCUACGGGUGAAAGCAGGGGAUCUUCGGACCUUGCGCGAUUGCAUGAGCCGAUGUCGGAUUAGCUAGUUGGCGGGGUAAAGGCCCACCAAGGCGACGAUCCGUAGCUGGUCUGAGAGGAUGAUCAGCCACACUGGAACUGAGACACGGUCCAGACUCCUACGGGAGGCAGCAGUGGGGAAUAUUGGACAAUGGGCGCAAGCCUGAUCCAGCCAUACCGCGUGGGUGAAGAAGGCCUUCGGGUUGUAAAGCCUUUUUGAUGGGAAAGAAAAGCAGCAGGUUAAUACCCCGCUGUUCUGACGGUACCCAAAGAAUAAGCACCGGCUAACUUCGUG